rnacentral:lncRNA from 1 species
GGCACCUGCAUGCGAGGUGUGGUUCCCUUCCCCAUGUGCCAUCCUGUCUUUCUCUUCCUCUGUUCGUUGAAAGAGCCCACGAGACUACGCUCAGUUCCCACCUCACCUCUGACAUGGCAUCUGUGAGGAGGGACUUGUAAGAAUUCCUGCCAAGUAAGCUACAGAAUGUAAAGUGGUAUAUGAAUAUGUAAUAGCAGCCAUUAUCAGUUGAUGCCCCUGUCUUUGGAAAGAAUCAUUUCACUCACUGUGGAGAGAAUGAGGGGCAAUUUGAAAUGGCCUGAGGCAGGCACAGAAGCUAUAGAAGUCUGCUGGGGAACCAUGUAGAAAUGAAGGGCACUUCUCAGCUGGAUUCCUGAGUGAGGCACUGACCCAUGCACAGCCCUAGACCUGCCAGUGGGUCCCAGGAGUGACUGAAGUUUCCUCUAAGCAUGGAAGAAGGUCUCAGAAGAUCUUGGUUUUGAAGACAUCCAAUAUGGCAAGACUUCAUUCUUUUUUUCCCUGCUAAUUCUGGUUGAAGACCACUGGGAAGUUCCCAACUUGCAGACAAUCUCAAGGGGGAAGAGCUGGGUGAAGAAUUUGGGAGUGGAUUCUCACUCUCUUUAUACUUCCUUGCUUAUCUCUGUUCUUAGAGAUAAGCCCAUAGAAUGUCAGGCAGUAUCUGGUUUCUUCACCUCUCUUUAUGAAAUGGGAGGCCAAAAGGAUUCUCACUGUAUGAGUCAUGUUGGUCAGUGCUCUUUAGUCGAAAGAUGUUGACUUCCUGAUAAGCAGGCAGCUUAAUUGUUCAAUUUUGACUUCCUCUUUUACAUUUAUGAUCAUGUGAGCAAAUUUAAUCAACAAGUAUUCUUUCCUAACGAGGAAAAUAUGAUAUUAAGUGACUCUGGGAUUAAAUGUGUGGGAAGCAAAGUGAGUGAUGGGGUCAAAAUCUAUGGACCAGAAACCACAACACUUACCUCUUUCUCCUCCUGCUGCUCUUCUGCUAGAGUCCCUUGAGAGUGAUAAGAAAGGAUAGGAUGAUCUUGUCAGUGGAAAAUAGCCAAACUAGAAGUGAUCUGACUGAUGAGAAAGACCAGGGUCAGCAGUUGCCUCACAGCAAGGAAACACUUCAUGCAACUGAAGCUCUUCAUUGAAGUCUGAGUUUAAAAGGCCAUUCCUGUAAUUUCUUUACUCCUCAACUUGUAGAACCUUUCUCUUUAUAUAAAAAGAGAAAGAUGGGUGUGGUGGAAAAGCCUGUGAGAUUAGAAUAAAAAUCUGAGUGUCAAUCUCUCUUUUGUCA